rnacentral:rRNA from 1 species
GACAGAGGUCCCGAGCGUUGUUCGGCUUCACGGGGAGUAAAGGGUGCGUCGGCGGUUGGGUAAGUCCGACGUGAAAUCCCGUGGCUUAACCACGGAAUUGCGUUGGAAACUAUCCAGCUCGAGGGUUGGAGAGGGGACUGGAAUUCUCGGUGUAGCAGUGAAAUGCGUAGAUAUCGAGAAGAACACCGGUGGCGAAGGCGAGUCCCUGGACAACUCCUGACGCUGAGGCACGAAAGCUAGGGGAGCAAACAGG